UGAUUCAUGCAACACAGUGAGCUUGUUUAACAGUUUUAAGAUUCUUUACAAUACGACAAUAAGAAAUUGAAGGUCUGUUAUGCUGAGCGGUGCUUAGUACCUAUUACAUCAAUAAAUCUCUUGAUCUUUGACCCUGGAA